rnacentral:piRNA from 1 species
UAGUUGAUAAGGUGUUAUAAUAAGCAGAUU